AUUGAACGCUGGCGGCAGGCUUAACACAUGCAAGUCGAACGCAUCCUUCGGGGUGAGUGGCAGACGGGUGAGUAACGCGUGGGAACGUGCCCUUCAGUUCGGGAUAACCCAGGGAAACUUGGGCUAAUACCGGAUACGUGCGAGAGCAGAAAGAUUUAUCGCUGAAGGAUCGGCCCGCGUCUGAUUAGCUAGUUGGUGGGGUAAUGGCCCACCAAGGCGACGAUCAGUAGCUGGUCUGAGAGGAUGAUCAGCCACAUUGGGACUGAGACACGGCCCAAACUCCUACGGGAGGCAGCAGUGGGGAAUAUUGGACAAUGGGCGCAAGCCUGAUCCAGCCAUGCCGCGUGAGUGAUGAAGGCCUUAGGGUUGUAAAGCUCUUUCGUCCGGGACGAUAAUGACGGUACCGGAAGAAGAAGCCCCGGCUAACUUCGUGCCAGCCGCCGCCGUAAUAC
rnacentral:rRNA from 1 species